UUUACAAGGUUUCAACCAAAUUUUGCUCAAAUGGUAGGAAGCAAAACACUAUUUAACCCCUUCUUUUGUCAGGUGUUUAUGGCUGAUUCGUUACGCUUUCAAUGGUCUCAGAGCAAAGUACCAACUAGCAACAAAUGAGAAUGACAAAAGGCUUGACGUGAAGCAACAAAUGAGAACAACUGAAGACUUGAGGUAUUUAUGACUGAUUAGUUACGCUUUCAAUUAUCUCAAAACAAAAUACCAAGUAGCAAAAAAUGAGAACAAUGGAAGGCUUGAGGUGUAGCAACAAAUGAGAACAACAUAAAGCAUGAGGUGAUAUGUAUUACGCUUUUUUAUAAAUAAAUGUUAGCAUAUUAAUUGUUAUGUUAGUAUUUUAUGUCCAGUGAAAUGAAUUAUACAUCCCCCGCUAGUA